UGGGGAAUAUUGGACAAUGGGCGAAAGCCUGAUCCAGCCAUGCCGCGUGUGUGAAGAAGGUCUUCGGAUUGUAAAGCACUUUAAGUUGGGAGGAAGGGCAGUUACCUAAUACGUAUCUGUUUUGACGUUACCGACAGAAUAAGCACCGGCUAACUCUGUGCCAGCAGCCGCGGUAAUACAGAGGGUGCAAGCGUUAAUCGGAAUUACUGGGCGUAAAGCGCGCGUAGGUGGUUUGUUAAGUUGGAUGUGAAAUCCCCGGGCUCAACCUGGGAACUGCAUUCAAAACUGACAAGCUAGAGUAUGGUAGAGGGUGGUGGAAUUUCCUGUGUAGCGGUGAAAUGCGUAGAUAUAGGAAGGAACACCAGUGGCGAAGGCGACCACCUGGACUGAUACUGACGCUGAGACGCGAAAGCGUGGGGAGCAAACAGGAUUAGAUACCCAAGUAGUCCCUGAGCGGGCUGGCAAGGCGCAU
rnacentral:rRNA from 1 species